GAUGAACGCUGGCGGCGUGCCUAAUACAUGCAAGUCGAGCGAACAGAUGAGGAGCUCGCUCCUCUGACGUUAGCGGCGGACGGGUGAGUAACACGUGGAUAACCUACCUAUAAGACUGGGAUAACUUCGGGAAACCGGAGCUAAUACCGGAUAAUAUAUUGAACCGCAUGGUUCAAUAGUGAAAGACGGUUUUGCUGUCACUUAUAGAUGGAUCCGCGCCGCAUUAGCUAGUUGGUAAGGUAACGGCUUACCAAGGCAACGAUGCGUAGCCGACCUGAGGGGGUGAUCGGCCACACUGGAACUGAGACACGGUCCAGACUCCUACGGGAGGCAGCAGUAGGGAAUCUUCCGCAAUGGGCGAAAGCUUGACGGAGCAACGCCGCGUGAGUGAUGAAGGUCUUCGGAUCGUAAAACUCUGUUAUUAGGGAAGAACAAAUGUGUAAGUAACUAUGCACGUCUUGACGGUACCUAAUCAGAAAGCCACGGCUAACUACGUG
rnacentral:rRNA from 1 species